GACAGAGGAGCCAAGCGUUGUCCGGAUUGACUGGGCGUAAAGCGCACGCAGGCGGGUGCGCGCGUGGGUGUGAAAUCUGGCCGCUUAACGGCCAGGCGCCAUCCCAUACGGCGCGCCUGGAGCCUUGCAGGAGGCGGUGGAAUUGCCGGUGUAGUGGUGAAAUGCGUAGAGAUCGCAGGAACACCCAGGGAACGUAGCCGACCUGG
rnacentral:rRNA from 1 species